UACGAAGGGUGCUAGCGUUGUUCGGAAUCACUGGGCGUAAAGCGCGCGUAGGCGGCUAUUCAAGUCAGAGGUGAAAGCCCGGGGCUCAACCCCGGGAGGCGGGUGGAUACUGGUCAGCUCGAGUCCGGAAGAGGAGUGUGGAAUUCCUGGUGUAGCGGUGAAAUGCGCAGAUAUCAGGAGGAACACCGAUGGCGAAGGCAGCACUCUGGGACGGUACUGACGCUGAGACGCGAAAGCGUGGGGAGCAAACAGG
rnacentral:rRNA from 1 species